UCGGGAAUGGUGUAAUUGGCAGCACGCCGGACUUUGGAUCCGGAGAUGUGAGGUUCAAAUCCUCCUUCCCGAG
rnacentral:tRNA from 1 species